rnacentral:lncRNA from 1 species
UAACCUUUAAGGUUUGUGACAUGUUUUUAGGUCCUAACAAGAAUUCUGUGAGGUAGAUGCUGCUGCAAGAGGCAAAGAGGGACACACAGCCAUUAAGUGAGGCACAUUGCAGUGUCUGUGAGAUCCUGAAGUUCUUUUGCCAGGAGUCUGAUAGCAAGAAGAAUUUGAGAAGAUGUUUUUUUCUCUCUGGAAGAUUAGGCCUGCGUACAUAAGGUCAUUGCAGGCCCAAGCAUCAAAGAAAGGGGUGAUCUACACAACAGACGCAUUGCUCCAACAUACAGCUUUGCUCCUGGGAAUGCUUGGGAUUGGUUUCUCUUGCUAUGGCACUCAUCAACUGACCCAAGGGAAGCAGCGGACCUGAAAACUUACAUUUGUGUUGGAACAUGGACCUAUAAGUGAACCUUUACACCGGGGAAAUAAACUUUUUUUCCCUCAAUUUUUUACCUUUUCU